GAUGAACGCUGGCGGCGUGCCUAAUACAUGCCAGUCGAGCGAACAGAUGAGGAGCUUGCUCCUCUGACGUUAGCGGCGGACGGGUGAGUAACACGUGAUAACCUACCUAUAAGACUGGGAUAACUUCGGGAAACCGGAGCUAAUACCGGAUAAUAUAUUGAACCGCAUGGUUCAAUAGUGAAAGACGGUUUUGCUGUCACUUAUAGAUGGAUCCGCGCCGCAUUAGCUAGUUGGUAAGGUAACGGCUUACCAAGGCAACGAUGCGUAGCCGACCUGAGAGGGUGAUCGGCCACACUGGAACUGAGACACGGUCCAGACUCCUACGGGAGGCAGCAGUAGGGAAUCUUCCGCAAUGGGCGAAAGCCUGACGGAGCAACGCCGCGUGAGUGAUGAAGGUCUUCGGAUCGUAAAACUCUGUUAUUAGGGAAGAACAAAUGUGUAAGUAACUAUGCACGUCUUGACGGUACCUAAUCAGAAAGCCACGGCUAACUACGU
rnacentral:rRNA from 1 species